rnacentral:lncRNA from 1 species
GGAAUAUGCCAGGAAUAUGCUAGGAAUAUGCCAUAUGGAAUGUCUAUAAAUACCGUGAGAUGGCACAUAUGAACUCUCACACUUCACAACACCAAACAACUCUCCUCCCUCCCUCUAGAAAGCUCACGGCUAAACAUCCCUAAUCACCCAUCAAUUUUUCGAGCCUUGUUCAAGCCAUUCCAAGCAUACCCAAGCAUCAAGGAUCACGUAUUAGGAGGCUUGGUGCACUCGGAGCACGAAGGACCUUUUUCUCUAGCUUUUAUCCACCACAUUCGCGUCUAGAUUCUUCCCUAGCCUCGAGCUAGUGGUUACGACGUUAAAUAAGCAAACCCGGUGAAGUUUACGACGCACAGGAACGCAAAGUUGUAACUAGGAUGGAUGUGCGCGUGGUCUCUCUUAUGCUCGUGGAUGUCGCUUGUGUGACAGGAUGGAUCUUGGGCGCAAGUGUUGUAACUAGAAGUAGACUACAAGUUUAGAUGUCAUCCACUUUUGUUGAAUUGUAACCUAGAUGAAGGUUGUGUUUUAAAACUUAAAUGACAAGUGUUUGUGAUCCUCAAAAUUUUCCGAAUGGAUGAACAUCGUUUUAAAUCAUGU